rnacentral:ribozyme from 13 species
UUUUUUUUUUUUUUUUUUUUUUUUUUUUUUUUUUUUUUUUACAAUGUACCACCAACGAAGGAGUGUCAGAGACG